GCCAGGCAUGGUGGCGGGUGCCUGUAAUCCCAGCUACUUGGGAGGCUGAGGCAGGAGAAUCGCUUGAACCCAGGAGGCGGAGGUUGCAGUGAGCUGAGGUCGCACCACUGCACUUCAGCCUGGGCGACAGGGUGAGACCAACUCAAAAAAAAAAAAAAAAAAGAAGGAGGUGAGCCCAGGAGUUCAAAGCUUCAGUAAGCUAUGAUCAUGCCACUGUACUCCAACUUGGGUGACUGAGCAAUAUCCUGCCUCU
rnacentral:sRNA from 1 species